rnacentral:rRNA from 1 species
AUGUGCGAGCAGUUCUCAUUCGAUGGCAACGUUCCUCUCUCUCCCCCGGCCCCUCCUCCUAUCUCACGAUUGCGGAGUCGGCAGCAGCGACGACACCGGAGGAACGACCGGGAGGUAACGGCUACCUCUCUCGCCCGUGGAGUGCUUCCCUUUCCCGCUCUCAUGCGGCAGCGACCCGGAGGCGAUGUGGUCGGUGCAACGAUCUGGCGCGAGCUCGGCGAUGUCAACGGCCUUCUCCAGCGUCCUCUCCACCUUCGGCGGUCUUCUCACCGCCGUGCAGGGGAGGAGGAUGAAGAUCAAGAAAGGAAAGGAAAGGAAAUCAGGAGCUUGCCUACUACCUACCAGGAAGCGGGUGAUGAAGGUGAUGGUGGAGACACGCUCCCAUCGGUGGAUUAA